UCGCCAGUAAUCGCGGAUCAGAAUGCCGCGGUGAAUACGUUCCCGGGUCUUGUACACACCGCCCGUCACACCAUGGGAGUCGGAAAUGCCCGAAGCCGGUGACCUAACCUUUCAGGAAGGAGCCGUCGAAGGCAGGUCUGAUAACUGGGGUGAAGUCGUAACAAGGUACC
rnacentral:rRNA from 1 species